rnacentral:tRNA from 1 species
UCGGGUGUAGUUCAGUGGUAGAGAACUUGCCUAGCAUGCAUGAGCCCCUGGAUUCCAUCUCCAGCACCAAAA